CCGAGGUGGAAGCGUGGCGACACGUGGAGCUGACGGAUACUAAUCGAUCGAGGGCUUGACCUAUAA
rnacentral:rRNA from 1 species